rnacentral:rRNA from 1 species
UACGGAGGGUGCAAGCGUUGUUCGGAUUUACUGGGCGUAAAGGGCGUGUAGGCGGUUAACUAAGUCAGAUGUGAAAUCCCUUAGCUUAACUAAGGAAGUGCAUUUGAAACUGGCUAACUGGAGUACAGGAGAGGAAAGUGGAAUUCCCAGUGUAGAGGUGAAAUUCAUAGAUAUUGGGAGGAACACCGGUAGCGAAGGCGGCUUUCUGGCCUGAUACUGACGCUGAGACGCGAAAGCGUGGGUAGCAAACAGG